CCCUUAGAUGUUCUGGGCCGCACGCGCGCUACAUUGAUGCAUUCAACGAGCCUAUCCUUGACCGACAGGUCCGGGUAAUCUUUGAAUCUGCAUCGUGACGGGGAUAGAUUAUUGCAAUUAUUAAUCUUCAACGAGGAAUGCCUAGUAGGCGCAAGUCAUCAGCUUGCGUCGAUUACGUCCCUGCCCUUUGUACACACCGCCCGUCGCUCCUACCGAUUGGGUGUGCUGGUGAAAUGUUCGGAUCGGCCGUUUGUCGCGGUUUCCGCGGCUCGUGGCUGAGAAGUUCAUUAAACCCUCCCACCUAGAGGAAGGAGAAGUCGUAACA
rnacentral:rRNA from 1 species